rnacentral:rRNA from 1 species
CAGUCGCCGCGGUAACACGAAGGGGGCUAGCGUUGCUCGGAAUGACUGGGCGUAAAGGGCGCGUAGGCGGAUUGUUUAGUUAGGCGUGAAAUUCCUGGGCUUAACCUGGGGACUGCGCUUAAUACAGGCAGUCUAGAGUGAGGAAGAGGGUUGUGGAAUUCCCAGUGUAGAGGUGAAAUUCGUAGAUAUUGGGAAGAACACCGGUGGCGAAGGCGGCAACCUGGUCCUUGACUGACGCUGAGGCGCGAAAGCGUGGGGAGCAAACAGGAUUAGAUACCCCCGUAGUCCCUGUCUCUUAUAC